CUCAUGUCAACGAAGGGGAAACGUGAAUGCAAAACUUUUUCAUACUACCAUGGAACACGAUCUGAAAGAUGGAGUGCUAAUUGGAGAGGAAGGAAAAAAGAGGUCUAGAAAAGAGAUUGAAGAUUCUAUAAUCAGGGAAGAGAUUAACAUAGUUGAGGGAAGGAAUAGGAGAAUGGUGGAAACAAAUAAUUUAUUAUCGGAGGCUGCCAAGAGGCAAGCCGACCAAACGCAAUGAAAAUCCUGAGUUGGAAUGUCCAUGGUUUGGGGAACUCACGGAUAGUUCGAAGACUUUGGCAUACGUUGAAGGUACAUAAUCCCCAAAUGGUCUUCCUUAUGGAGACAAAAAUUGAUAAAAGUCAUAUGGAAAGAGUCAGAAGAAGUUGUGGUUUUAUCAAUGCUAUUGAUGUAGAAGCAAUGGGUUCUAGAGGAGGUUUAUGUUUGGCAUGGAAUAGGGACACAAAUGUCUUGCUCCAACGUUUUUCGAAAAGGCAUAUUGACGUGGUCAUAGAGGAAAUAGAUGAAGGUUAUAAGUGGAAAUUUACUGGUUUUUACGGUUCUCCUUAUCAACAAGAUAGGGAUGAAGUAUGGAAUCUUUUAAGACAAUUACGUACUGAUGGGGAUAUGCCAUGGAUGGUUUGCGGGGACUUCAAUGAAAUUCUCUAUGGAUUUGAAAAAAGGGUGGUUUAAUUCGUGAGGAGGGUAGAAUGGAAGCUUUUCGAAAAGUGUUGGAAGAUUGCAAUUUAGUGGAUGUGGGGUUUUGUGGGAACUGGUUCACGUGGGAAAGAGGAAAUCUACCAGAGACAAAUAUUCAAGAACGUCUUGAUAGGGGUGUGGCCACUGAUAGUUGGUUGUCUCUAUUUCCAAAGUCUCAAAUUCAGCAUUUACCUCAUUCUUUUUCUGAUCAUUGUCCACUACUCCUUACUACAAAAUGGGAAGAAAAGAGUCGCUUUAAUAGAAGUUUUAAAUUUGAAGCAUGGUGGGUCAUGGAAGAAACAUUUUUUGGAGAGGUUAGGAACAUUUGGGAAAAGUCAACAAGGAAUUUUUUGAACAAGCUGGAAUGUGUCAAAAGAGGGUUACAAGAAUGGGCUAAUAAAAUUCUUUACUGCAGGAAAGUAAAUAAUGAGCUGUUAACAUCAAAAUUAAUAAAAUUACUGGAAGAUGAUAGAAUUGAUGAAAAUCUUGCAGAGCUUAUUGACACAAAAGUAGAACUUAAUUUUGAGAUUGAGAAAGAUGAACGUUAUUGGGAACAAAGGGUGCGAGUUAAUUGGCUCAAAUUAGGUGAUAGAAGUACUGCUUUUUUCCAUAAACAAGCGACACAGAAACAAAAGAAGAACUUUAUUCGUAAAUUACAAUCUGAUGAGGGCGGGGAGAUGGAUUAAAUCGAAAAAAUAGAAGAGGUUGCUAGAACGUAUUUCCAAAAUCUAUUUUCAGCUGGAAGAAGAGGAAAUUAUAAUCAUAUUUUAUCGGGUAUUGAUCAAUGUAUUUUUGAUGAAGAUAGUUCUAAACUUAAGGAGAGAUAUACAAAAGAGGAGAUAUGGGAGGCACUGAAAGAAAUGGGUCCGACAAAAGCACCUGGAGAUGAUGGAUUUCCUGCUCUCUUUUAUCAAAAGUGUUGGUCAAUCAUUGGAGAAGAUACUACAUCAUUCCGCCUUAAUUUUCUAAAUGAAGGUACGAAUCUAAACGUAAUAAAUAAGACUAAUAUUGUGUUAAUUCCGAAAAUUUCAAAUCCUUUGAGUAUCACUCAAUUCAAACCCAUCAAUUUGUGCAAUGUGCUAUAUAAAUUGAUGGCCAAAGUCAUUGCUAAUCGGCUCCGAUCAGUUAUGGACAAAUGUAUCGAUUUGGCAUAGAGUGCAUUCGUGCUUGGAUUUCUGAUAAUGUUUUAUUAGCUUAUGAACUACUUCAUACUUUAAAGCAAAAAAAGGUGGGGAAGAAAGGGCUUAUGGCAAUUAAACUAGAUAUGAGUAAAGUAUACGACAGGGUUGAGUGGAAGUUUGUAGAAGGAGUGAUGAAGAAAAUGGGUUUUGAUCCAGAUUGGGUGGAUUCAUUAAUGAAGUGCGUAACGACAGUAUCAUACUCCGUAGUUUUUAAUGGUUUUACUGGUCAAUACUUUACCCCUUCUAGAGAUCUUAGACAGGGCGAUCCUUUUAAGUCCUUUUUUGUUUCUAUUUUGUGGGGAAGGAUUAUCUAGCCUUAUAAGGUCAGCAAUGAAAAAAAAGUUUAAUAGAGGGGUGAAGGCGAGCAGAAAUGGAACACAGAUCUCACAUUUAUUAUUUGCAAACAACUGUAUUUUGUUUGGAGAGGCCACUGAAAGAAGAGCAGUUUAUCUGAAACAGAUUCUACAUGAGUAUGAGAAAUGUUCUGGUCAAAGUGUUAAUUAUGCUAAAUCGACUAUUUUCUUCAGUUCCAAUACGCAAGAAGGAGAGAAAAGAGUUGUUACUAGGGUGCUCGGAGUACGCAGCUCAAAUAAUCCAGAGAGAUAUCUAGGUUUACCUAAUUUAGCGGGGAGAAAGAAGAAAGAGUCUUUUCAAAGCCUAAAGGAUAGAUUACUACAACGAAUUGAUAAUUGGAGUAUAAAGCAUCUUUCGCAAUGAGGAAAUGAGGUUUUUAUUAAGGCAGUUCUCCAAUCCAUUCCAACCUACUCAAUGGCGUGUUUUUUACUUCCAAAAACCCUUUGUUCUGAAUUAGAAGGUAUAAUAGCAAAAUUUUGGUGGCAGAAAAAUCGAGGUAAAAAAGGCAUUCAUUGGUGUGCUUGGAAGGAUAUGUGUGCAUUAAAAGAUAUAGGAGGUAUUGGCUUUCGAAAACUUGAUAAAUUUAACGUUGCAUUACUAGCUAAACAGGGUUGGUGUUUGAUUAAUUAUCAUUUUUCCUUGUUAGCUCGAGUUUUAAAAGCGAAAUACUAUCCGUCCUCUAAUUUUUUAAAAGCUCAAUUAGGAAAUUCACCUUCACUUACCUGGAAAAGUGUGUGGGCAACUAAAGGACUUUUGGAGAAAGGAUUGUGCUGGAGAGUCGCGAAGGGAGAUCGCAUUUCUAUCUGGUCUAACAUCUGGAUACCGAAUGUUGAGGAAAAUAGAUUGCAGAAUCAAAUAAGCAAUGUUAAUAUUGAGUUUGUUUCAGAUUUGAUUGAUGAAAAGAGUAGAUCAUGGAAAACAAAGUUAUUGGUUAAUACCUUUCACACAGAGAUUGUUAAAAAAAUCAUGCAGAUUCUAUUGGCAAGGGCUGUGCACGACUAUUUCCAAGUAUAGGGAGGGGAACCAUCCGGUAAUUUUUCCGUUAGAAGUGCCUACAAACUAUUACAAAGGGCUACACUGGUUCUUAGUAAUAAUAAUUUACAGGCCGAGAUUAAAACUUUCUACAGAAAACUAUGGAACCUACAUGUUCCUUCAAAACUCAAAAUUACAGUCUGGAAAAUUUCCUGGAACUACAUCCCUACUCUUGCUAAUCUUAAGAUAAAACGAGUUGCAGUGGAGACUCAAUGCCCCAGUUGUCAUCGGAAUGAAGAAGACAGUAUUCACAUUUUUCGGCAAUGUCCUACAACGGAGGAAGUAUGGAGAAAUUUACAAUUUUCUUGGGUGUUUAAUUGUAACAAUCAGGAAAUUUGGGAAUGGCUUACUUGGGUUUUCAACCGGGGAACAAGCGAACAGUGUCGUCUUUUUUGCUGUGGAUUAUGGAUCAUCUGGACAAGUAAAAAUAAGCUCCUUUAUGAAAAUUGAAACACAACAAGUUUAGAUAUUUCUAAUCACAUAAUUAGUUACGUUUCGGAGUUGAAAGGUUUAAAUGAGAAAAUACUUAGCUUUGAUUCUGACAUAGAUCUCAACCAUGAUGAACAAAGAAUGUGUCCAGCCAUCUACUUUGAUGCGGCUUCCGACCAAAAGCUUUUUAGAUCGGCUUCGGGUUUGAUUGUACGUGCGAUGGAUGGGGAAAUCUUGGCUUCUAAAUCGGUACUUCACUCUGAAGUUGCAUCACCGUUUGCGGCGGAGGCUUUUGCAGGCCUAGAUGCAAUGAGAUUAGGUAGUUCCAUGGGUUUUAAUGCAUGCAUGAUUCUGGGUGAUUCUAAAACAGUUAUCAAGAAAUGUCAAAGUGCAGAUUAUGAUAGAUCGGUCAUUGGAGCACUCAUCAGAGAUAUCCAACUCUUAAAAAUACACUUUCAAGACUUGGGGUUUCUUUUCAUCCCAAAAUCAGAAAAUCUCUUUGCUCACUUUACUGCUAGAAAAACAUUGAAAGAAAAUGAAAAUCAUUACCUAGAGGCAGGCGUCUCAAGCUGGGUUCAAAGAGAAGUGGAGAGGCUAAAGUCGAGAGCUCCAGAUUGAAGAAUAAGAAAUGACUUUUUUGAGAACUUGUAGGAGAAGAUAAAAUAUUUAAGGAGAUUUGAUCACUCUGCUAUUUCAAACAGUUGUGAUGGUUCAGAUGAUAGGAGAAGACAUUAAGAGGGCAGCUAUUGAUGUCGACCGGCAUUAAAAGGAGUAGGUUUCCAAUUUCUGUUCAGUUUAUUUUAUUUAUGGGCAGUUUUGUUUUGCUUUAUUUAGGUUUUUUAGCUUAUUGGACUUGCUUUGUUUAGACCCAAGUUCAAGUUGCAGGAGAUCAUUUGUUCUUUUUACAGUUCUUAUUAUUUUAAUAAAACCAGUCGAUUUAGUAAAAAAAAAAAACUUACACAACCAAAAUCAAAUAAACUAAUUAUUGUUUAUCGUGUCAAUUUUUUAACCUUUUAUAUUAAAAAAUUCUAUUGUUAAUAUAUUAAAAAAUUAUUCUUAUUUUAAAUUAAAAUUAGAUUGAAAUCAAAUUUAAAUUUAAUGAUGUAUUAUCUAGGGUAAGGUAGAAUAUGAC
rnacentral:lncRNA from 1 species